AUACGUAGGGAGCGAGCGUUGUCCGGAAUUACUGGGCGUAAAGGGCGCGUAGGCGGCGCUUCAAGUCGUCUGUCAAAUGGGAGGGCUUAACCCUUUUUCGCAGACGAAACUGGAGAGCUUGAGAAGCAGAGAGGCAAACAGAAUUCCUGGUGUAGCGGUGAAAUGCGUAGAUAUCAGGAAGAAUACCAGUGGCGAAGGCGGUUUGCUGGCUGCAUACUGACGCUGAAGCGCGAAAGCCAGGGGAGCAAACGGGAUUAGAUACCCCGGUAGUCCUGGCAGUAAACGAUGUAUGCUGGGUGUGAGACUAGCGAUGGUUUCGUGCCGAAGUUAACGCGAUAAGCAUACCGCCUGGGGAGUACGGUCGCAAGAUUGAAACUCAAAUGAAUUGACGGGG
rnacentral:rRNA from 1 species